CAACAGGGAUUGCCCUAGUAACGGCGAGUGAAGCGGCAACAGCUCAAAUUUGAAAUCUGGCUCUUUCAGGGUCCGAGUUGUAAUUUGCAGAGGGCGCUUUGGUGUUGGCAGCGGUCCAAGUUCCUUGGAACAGGACGUCACAGAGGGUGAGAAUCCCGUACGUGGUCGCUAGCCUUCGCCGUGUAAAGCCCCUUCGACGAGUCGAGUUGUUUGGGAAUGCAGCUCUAAAUGGGAGGUAAAUUUCUUCUAAAGCUAAAUACUGGCCAGAGACCGAUAGCGCACAAGUAGAGUGAUCGAAAGAUGAAAAGCACUUUGGAAAGAGAGUCAAAUAGCACGUGAAAUUGUUGAAAGGGAAGCGCUUGCAGCCAGACUUGCCUGUAGUUGCUCAUCCGGGCUUUUGCCCGGUGCACUCUUCUGCGGGCAGGCCAGCAUCAGUUUGGGCGGUUGGAUAAAGGUCUCUGUCAUGUACCUCUCUUCGGGGAGGCCUUAUAGGGGAGACGACAUGCAACCAGCCUGGACUGAGGUCCGCGCAUUUGCUAGGAUGCUGGCGUAAUGGCUGUAAGCGGCCCGUCUUGAAACACGGACCAAGGAGUCUAACAUCUAUGCGAGUGUUUGGGUGUCAAGCCCGAACGCGUAAUGAAAGUGAACGGAGGUGGGAACCCUUUAGGGUGCACCAUCGACCGAUCCUGAUGUCUUCGGAAGGAUUUGAGUAAGAGCAUGGCUGUUGGGACCCGAAAGAUGGUGAACUAUGCUUGAAUAGGGUGAAGCCAGAGGAAACUCUGGUGGAGGCUCGCAGCGGUUCUGACGUGCAAAUCGAUCGUCAAAUUUGGGCAUAGGGGCGAAAGACUAAUCGAACUAUCUA
rnacentral:rRNA from 1 species